rnacentral:rRNA from 1 species
GGGGGCAACCCCGGAGUCGAGCGGCGAACGGGUGAGUAACGCGUGGAUGACCUGCCCUUUAGUGGGGAACAACCAGGGGAAACUCUGGCUAAUACCGCAUUCGACCGAAAGGUGAAAGGGGGCUCGCAAGGGCUCUCGCUGAAGGAGGGGUCCGCGUCCGAUUAGCUAGUUGGUAGGGUAAUGGCCUACCAAGGCGACGAUCGGUAGCCGGCCUGAGAGGGUGAUCGGCCACACUGGAACUGAGACACGGUCCAGACUCCUACGGGAGGCAGCAGUGGGGAAUUUUGCGCAAUGGGCUAACGCCUGACGCAGCAACGCCGCGUGGAGGAUGAAGGUCUUUGGAUUGUAAACUCCUGUCAGCGGGGAAAAAGGGACUUGGCCUAAUACGCCAGGGACUUGAUUGUACCCGCAGAGGAAGCCCCGGCUAACUCUGUGCCAGCAGCCGCGGUAAUACAGAGGGGGCAAGCGUUA